rnacentral:rRNA from 1 species
GACAAGAGCAUAUGGUGGAUGCCUAGGUUUGAAAUGGCGAUGAAGGACGUGGACAAUCUGCGAUAAGUCUCGGGGAGCCGAUUCUCAGGCUUUGAUCCGGGAAUUUCCUAAUGGGGGAACCCCUCUGCUUUUAUAGGCAGAGAUCCGACAGGGAUAACUUCUGUUGGAGGCGCACCUGGGGAAGUAAAACAUUUCAGUACCCAGAGGAAAAGAGACCAAAUAAGGAAUUUCCUUAGUAGCGGCGAGCGAAACGGAACCAGCCCAAACCCUCCUUCGCUUUGUGCUUCGCACAAAGCUUUGGAAGGCACAGCUGAUGAGCGAGGUUACAAAUCGUGAGGAUAGGAGAAAGUGCUGGAAAAGCACUAUCAGAGAGGGUGAUAAUCCCGUAUCCGAAAUCUGAACGACCUUUUUUAUUGCUCUUGAGUACUUCGAGACAUGAAUAGCUCGGAGGAAUUUGCCAGUACUCACUGGUAAGGCUACAUACAUUUCAAAACCGAUAGUGAACAAGUACCGUGAGGGAAAGGUGAAAAGAACCCCGGCAAGGGGAGUGAAAUAGAACUGAAACCAUAUGUUUACAAAGAGUCGAAGUCGCGUCUGACGCGACGACGGCGUGCCUAUUGAAGAAUGAGCCAACGAGUGUAUCGAUACUGCUCGGCUAAGGUGUUACGCACCGUAGUCACAGCGAAAGCGAGUGUGAUAAGCGCGACCAAUGUAGUAUCUAUACGACCCGAAGCAGAGUGAUCUUACCAUGAGCAGGAUGAAGUUCGCCGAAAGGCGAAUGGAGGUCCGAACCGGGGCGCCGUACGAAACGCUCGGAUGACUUGUGGUAGGGAGUGAAAAGCUAAUCGAACUCUGUAAUAGCUGGUUCUCUCCGAAACAGCUUUUGGGUUGGCGUCAUGAGUUCCCACUGGGGGUAGAGCACUGGAUAGUAUCGGAUAGCGGGAAACCGCGCCGAGCUUAUCAAACUCCGAAUACCAGUGGCCAUAUCAUGGCAGUUAGUCUAUGGGCGCGAAGGUCCAUUAGACAAAAGGGAAACAGCCCAGAUCGCCAAAUAAGGUCCCUAAAUCUAUGUUAAGUGCAAGUAAGGAGGUGAAGUUUCUCCGACAAUCAGGAGGUUGGCUUAGAAGCAGCCACCCUUUAAAGAUAGCGUAACAGCUCACUGAUCAAGAGACUCUGCACCGCUAAUAAUCGGGGCUCAAACAUAGUACCGAAUUUGCGGGUUUUCUUGCCCUCGGGCAAGGAAGCGGUAGGAGAGCGUUGUCAUCUGCGUUGAAGCUGAAGGGGUAACCCACAGUGGAGCGUUGACAAGUGAGAAUGUUGGCACAAGUAACCACAACACAGGUAAA